GAACUAUUGAUCCAAUGAUGAACAGAGGAACUUACUAUAUCCUCUUAUGUCAAUUACCUAAACCAGCUGGCCAAUUAUACAAAAGUCAUCCAACUGGAACAGAAUGCUGCCUCAUGACAACAGAUCAGAGGGAGUCAAAAAUACUGCAGAUGCUGGAAGUCCAAAAUAAAAUAGAAAAUGCUGGAAGUGCACAGUGGAUCAGGUUACAUCUGUGGACAUAUUCUGGAGUUUGGGUAUAAAACAAAUGGUAAAUUCAGCAGCAGUCAUUCUUCAAACAUGAACAUGGAUUGUAGAUUAAAUUUAAAAUGCAGCCCUGAUCAAUAGUUUCCUUGGAGCUGUGGACACCAGAUGAUUGAAAACCAAACAGUGCUGAUUAACAUUGAUUUUGGGUGGCUGGAGUGUGGGUGCAAACAAGUGGGUGUAUGAAAAAUAUAUGUAAUUCAGAGGACGCAUUGUAACUAUAGAAUUGUCCUGCUGUUACCAUUGGUCUUCAGCAUAUAAAAUGUCAUUUAAUAUUGAGUUGAACAGACCUCUUCCUUUAAUGGUGUC